rnacentral:lncRNA from 1 species
AAAAAUGAAAAAAUGGAGAAAUUCUAUCACCGAAUAUGUACACAUACCAACAUGACAAGUAAUGAUUAAAGUUUCAAAAGAUAUUUGUUAUUUCUAGCAAGGGAGUGUAUGUUUUAUAUUAUAUGAAGGUAUAAUAUAUUGAGAUCAUCCAAGAUACAGAGAGACAAAUAUGAGAGUAAUAAAAAUUAUAAGAACCACACAAAUUCCAAGCAACGUGAAACUAGGUGUGUUGAAAGGGUUCGCACGCAACUCCUGCAUGUACGGAUAACCAGUUGUACAAUAUUCAGCUUCAAAUUAUGGAUACAUACAAUCAAACAUAGUCGUACGAUAGAUGUAAUUAACCAAUAAAAGAUGCACUAAAAUACUCAAAAAUAAAAAAAAUAAAAA